AGGACGAACGCUGGCGGCGUGCUUAACACAUGCAAGUCGUGCGGUAGGGCCUUGCUUUUGGGUGGGGUACACGAGCGGCGAACGGGUGAGUAACACGUGAGUAAUCUGCCCUCUUCUUUGGGAUAAGCUCCGGAAACGGUGUCUAAUACCGGAUAUGACUGCUCCACACAUGUGGUGGUGGUGGAAAGCCCUUCCUUUUGGUUGUGGUGGUGGGGGAUGUGCUCGCGGCCUAUCAGCUUGAUGGUGGGGUAAUGGCCUACCAUGGCUUCGACGGGUA
rnacentral:rRNA from 1 species